rnacentral:rRNA from 1 species
UGGGGAAUAUUGGACAAUGGGCGAAAGCCUGAUCGAGCGACGCCGCGUGCAGGAUGAAGGCCCUCGGGUUGUAAACUGCGGUAGUAGGGGAGGAACGCAAGUGACUGUACCCUACGGAAAGUGGUUGGUAACUACGUGCCAGCACCAGCGGUAAUACGUAGACCACAAGCGUUAUCCGGAUUUAUAGGGCGUAAAGAGCAUGUAGGAGGUCCGGUGCGUCUCUGGUUAAAGCCCACCGCCUAACGGUGGAAGUGCCAGAGAUACGAUCGGACUGGAGGAUGUGAGAGGUGCAUGGAACUCACGGUGUAGGGGUGAAAUCCGUUGAUAUCGUGGGGAACACCAAAGGCGAAGGCAGUGCACUGGUCUGUUUCUGACGCUCACACACGAAAGCCAGGGUAGCGAACGGGAUUAGAUACCCCGGUAGUCCCUGAGCGGGCUGGCAAGGCGCAU